rnacentral:tRNA from 3 species
CUCGGGGUGGAGCAGCCUGGUAGCUCGUCGGGCUCAUAACCCGAAGGUCGUCGGUUCAAAUCCGGCCCCCGCAACCA